rnacentral:rRNA from 1 species
AGCANUNUACACNGNGACNGUGAAUGGGUCUUUAUCACUUAUCUUUUAUUUGAUAUNACCUUUUUACAUGNANAACCGUGGUAAUUCUAGAGCUAAUACAUGCGAAAAAUCCCGACUUCCGAAGGGAUGUAUUUAUUAUAUUAAAAACCAAUGCCCUUCGGGGCUCUCUGGUGAUUCAUGAUAACUUCUCUAAUCGCACGGCCUUGCGCCGGCGAUGGUUCAUUCAAAUUUCUGCCCUAUCAACUUUCNACGGCUGGGUCUUGGCCAGCCGUGGUGACAACGGGUAACGGAGGGUUAGGGCUCGACCCCGGAGAANGAGCCUGAGAAACGGCUACUACAUCCAAGGAAGGCAGCAGGCGCGCAAAUUACCCAAUCCCGACCCGGGGAGGUAGUGACAAUAAAUACUGAUACAGGGCUCUUUCCGGUCUUGUAAUUGGAAUGAGUACAAUUUAAAUCCCUUAACGAGGAACAAUUGGAGGGCAAGUCUGGUGCCAGCAGCCGCGGNAAUUCCAGCUCCAAUACCGUAUAUUAAAGUUGUUGAGGUUAAAAAGCUCGUAGUUGAACCUUGGGNCUAGCCGGCCGGUCCGCCUCACCGCGUGCACUGGCUCGGCUGGGUCUUUCCUUCUGGAGAACCACCUGCCCUUCACUGGGUGUGCUGGGGAACCANGACUUUUACUCUGAACUAUAUUANCUAUAAAGAAAGCCUAUGCUCGAAUACUACUAGCAUGGAAAUAAUANAAUAAACGUGGGUUCUAUUUUGUUGGUGUUCUANGACCGCCGCAAUGAUUAAUANGGACAGUCGGGGGGCAUCAGUAUUCAAUUGUCANAGGUGAAAUUCUUGGAUUUAUUGAAAACUAANUCUGCUAAAGCAUUUGCCNAGGAUGUUUUUCUUUUUCAACAAAGUUANGGGGAUCGGAAAAAANCAGAAUCCAUCNUAANCCUUANCCAUAAANCUAUGACUNANUNAGGAUCGGGACGGCGGAAUUUUUUUGNCCCNGUNCGGCCCCCUUCCAANAAACAAAAAANUGGNCCCUGGGGGGNAGGUANGGGGCGNAGGGCUGGAAAUUNAGAAAAAAUGACGGGAAAGGNGNCCCNCCCCCUUNUUUGACCNUCAAAC